rnacentral:lncRNA from 1 species
AUUUGCUUGAAGUUUUUUGAAAUUUAAGUACAUCUGAAAUUUAUGGUUAUUUUGAGAAUGAACUCAUCAAAUUUUACAGCUAUUCCAUAUUAAAUGUAUUCAUGUUCUUGACAUCUUUGGUUUAUGGGACCAUAAAUCUCUAGGUACAUUAUCUACUGGAUAGGUUUAAUGAAAAGCAAGAUGUUUUGAUAAAUACUAGCUUCUCUUGAAAAUUAUGCUUAUAACCAUAUUCAUUAAAAUUAUAUAUUGCGUUUACUGUGUUCCAGGCACUCUUCAAAAAUAUUUUAAAUAAUUCAUUUAGUCCUUCUGACACUCUUAGAAGUAGCACUAUUAUGUCAAUUUACAUAUGGAAAUUAGCCUGUGGGAGAUUCUGGCCCCAGGGCACAUACUAGGAAGGGAAGAAGGCUUCAGUCAGAUUCUGUUGAGGUUUAUCGUGUCAUCAAAUUUGGAGGAGAUUAAAAAUGUCUUGAAAAGUAAAAAAAAAAAAGGAUUAGCCAAAUUCCUCAGAGAUGCCGUGAAUGCCGUGAACACUGCAUACUUGAUAAAGUACCAUAUUUGGCAGCCCCACUUUGAGUAUAUGUCACCUUGGUUUGUCUGGGAUUGUGCCAUAGAGGCUAUAAUUAUUCUACAGAACACUCCCAGAAUCCGAGAUUGAAAUUUAGAGACAAGAUUAGAAAAAUGGCAUUCUUGAAAGCGGACCAGAACUAAUGUAAAACGGGUGAGAUGAACUGAAAGUUCCAGCCCAGGAAAGCUUCAGUGCCUGGCUGAUGAGAGCAGGAGCCCCCCAACACCCAGGAGCUGUGUGACGAGAAUUAUCUGGGUGUGUUAGUUUAUAAGCUAGC